rnacentral:lncRNA from 1 species
AUGGUUCUUCUUCUCUACUCCUUCUACAAACACUUAUUUCCUUCAUAUGUUUCAGCCAUUCUUGUUACUUCAUUUUGCCCUUCCAUGCCUUUUUGUUGCCACCAAUAACAAAAAUACACAAAAGUAUGUCAUAAAAUUACAAAAACAAAGUGGUAAAAAGAAAAAAAAUCAUUCUUUUAGGCUUACAAGGACAAGAGGAAGUCCAGGGGAGUUGAACAUGAUCUUGGCAAGAGAUUGAGGAAGAAGUCUUGAUUGAGAAAUUAUACCAGUGAGCAUAUUGUUAUCAUUGUUGUGAUUGUUGCUGCUAUUGUUAUUGAAUGGUAUACAACAACAAUUCUUGCACCUUAACCACCAGAAUUAUUUCCAGAAACCCCCCAAAAUUCAUGAAAAUAAACCAACAAAGUCUCAAAAAACACAACUUUAUUUAUAUAUGUGUGUAUAUAUGAAAGAUUCAGUGUUAUCUUUUUGAGCUAAAAAUCAACAAAAAAUCAUAGUAUGUUGAAUUUUAAGGUGAUUGUUUGUGAUUUUUGUGAUACUAAUGGUUGUAUUGUGAUUCCGAUAAUGAAAUUUAUGGUGGAUUCUUAAAAUUAUUAUGAUGAAGAUUUGAGUUUGAUGAUAAUGGUGUUAAUGGUGGUGUUUUAAUGGUGAUUUUGGUAAAGAAGAAGCAAUGGGUGACAUGAAAUUUUAAAAAAAAAAUUGACAUAAUAUCUGAUGUGGUAAUGACAUGACGAUGAUGUGGCACGAGUGUAAAU